UACGGGGGGGGCAAGCGUUGUUCGGAAUUACUGGGCGUAAAGCGCACGUAGGCGGAUCUUUAAGUCAGGGGUGAAAUCCCAAGGCUCAACCUUGGAACUGCCUUUGAUACUGGGGAUCUCGAGUCCGGAAGAGGUGAGUGGAACUGCGAGUGUAGAGGUGAAAUUCGUAGAUAUUCGCAAGAACACCAGUGGCGAAGGCGGCUCACUGGUCCGGUACUGACGCUGAGGUGCGAAAGCGUGGGGAGCAAACAGG
rnacentral:rRNA from 1 species